rnacentral:snRNA from 9 species
AUACUUACCUGGCGUAGGAUUACCGUAAUUGUGCAGGCGGUUCCCCUAUGGUGAGGCUACUCCAUUGCACUGCGGAGUGGUUUGACCCUUGCGAUUAUUUUUAUUUUUAUAAGUUUCACUUCUACCGAGUGUGACUUGUG